UACGUAGGGUGCAAGCGUUUAAUCGGAAUUACUGGGCGUAAAGCGUGCGCAGGCGGUUUUGUAAGUCUGACGUGAAAUCCCCGGGCUCAACCUGGGAAUUGCGUUGGAGACUGCAAGGCUGGAGUCUGGCAGAGGGGGGUAGAAUUCCACGUGUAGCAGUGAAAUGCGUAGAGAUGUGGAGGAACACCGAUGGCGAAGGCAGCCCCCUGGGUCAAGACUGACGCUCAUGCACGAAAGGCGUGGGGAGCAAACAGG
rnacentral:rRNA from 1 species